GACGUAGGGCGCGAGCGUUGUCCGGAUUUAUUGGGCGUAAAGAGCGUGUAGGCGGCCUGAUAGGUCGGUUGUGAAAACUGGAGGCUUAACCUUCAGACGUCGGCCGAAACCAUCUGGCUAGAGUCCGGAAGAGGAGAGUGGAAUUCCUGGUGUAGCGGUGAAAUGCGCAGAUAUCAGGAAGAACACCCGUGGCUAAGGCGGCUCUCUAGUACGGUACUGACGCUGAGACGCGAAAGCGUGGGGAGCGAACAGG
rnacentral:rRNA from 1 species